rnacentral:pre_miRNA from 1 species
ACAACAUUCAGACCGUCGGUUUACCGAGCAAUAUCGCCCGCUCGGUGAAAAUCUUCCUUUAGUCGU